GCUGUUGCAAAAUGGACACUAAGGGCUCGACGGGCGCAGACUGCGCUCACAGCCCAUAAGCAAAAUGGCGGCUAUUUGGCUUCGCCUUGGUAACCCUGCCCCUGCCAGGCGGGGCGGGUGAGCCCCGUGCAGUGGGAGGGAGGGGAGAGUGGACGCCAUUUUCCCAGAGAGAGGCAGUGACAUAGAGGGAGCGUAGGAGGCUGAAAGGAGGGAGCCACGGGAGCAGCGGCGGCAGCGGGGACUGUGUUUGUGCUCCAUGGCUCCACCUCAGAACCAGAGAAGAAAACCAGUGAGCAAGAAAACCUGAAAUGGGACAGGAUGGAAAGUGGCUGCUCCUGCUCACUGGAAAAAGCUCUGGAGUCCAUUGUGGCAUCGUCCUCUCUGCUGUCAUCCUUCUGGCUGUUAAAAGCGGUUCCAGCGUGAAGUGCCUGGGGAGUGGAGGCCGAAGGCUCACAGUCCUGAAACCCAACUGCCGGCAGGGCCUCAGCCCACAGAUGAGUUUCUCCUGACCUGUGCUCGUGGCGUGUCACACUGGGUGGCUUUGCCGUUCCUUUCAGGAGGAGUGGCUGCACCAGCCGAUCAGCACAGGCACCUUGACCAGGCUGAGAAUCGUUAUUUAGGAAGGGCUGCACGCUUGCUUGAGGUCCUCAGAGGAGACGAGUACAUCCGAUGGCAACACCAAGAAAUUGUUCCUUACAUUAACUUGUAUGUUAGACCUGGACUCUGCUGUAUGCAUCAGUUUUGGGGUUUCCUGCUGUCUUUGUUCUGUCUCCCGCACACAAAGGCACUCGUUCAUACACAUGUUCACACCGUGGGCAAAGAAUGCCACUUCUUAGUGGCAAAGAACCUCCUUCUUAGGCAGCCAACAAACCCAAAUCUUAAUGGACACUCUCCAAACCCAAGAUGGAGGUCUUAGCAACACAGGUCACCACCUCGCUACAUGGCACAUGCCGACAAGGCAGCAGAGCAGCGGUUCACUGUGAACCAAGCCAAGCACUGAGGUUUGGCACGCGGAGAUUCUGCUCCAUCUCGAAGGCAAACGCCCACGAGGCUUCAUCUAAGUCCUUCCUGAGAAGGAAGCAUCUGCUGCUGCCUAUGUCUCCUUCAACCCACCACCACCACAACCGGUGGCAGCAGCUGCACGAUUUGAGUUCCAUCACGGAGCGGGCAUAUGGCCAACCCGGCAACGUGUCUCAGGCCAAGUAUUACCCAGGUCUACCCACACGUCAUCCAGCCUGAUGGGGGAAGACAGACUCUUCUGGCUGCUCCCUGCCCCUCCACUGCCAUCUCCCUUCUUCCAGCACACAUGUGACACCAGACAGUUGCCAUGUGACGCUACAAAAAGCACUCAAGAGACCCCUGUGGUGAUCCUGUGAUGUCGCUGGACCUGCUGAGGAAGGUGAUGGGUUCUCACCCAAUACUGGAAGCUGAACACAACUUCCCCAUAGCUUGACAAGCACAUCACACCAUCCGGUACGGGAACAUGCAGGCCAUGCUAUUCUUAAGUGGUUUGGCAACUUUGUUGUCUCUGGCUGUAAUCUACUGCCCAUAAAAUGCCAUCAGACAUCAGCUUGCAGGUCUGAGUUACACAAGUUCCAGGGCAGGAGAAGGAACCUAUGUCUUCAGACUGCCCUCAGAGUCUGAGCAUCCACAUGCAAUAGAUUAAAAUCGCCACAGGCCCAGCAGGACACGCAUCUGCUGCCUCUGGCCAUAGGAAGGUUCUGGCAGGGUGCAACACUUGAAAAAGAAGCUCUCUGGGUGCUACCAUAAAGACCCCGAAAGAGCAAGUGUGCAAACAGUUGAUCACUCACAACAGAAAGAGCAGAGACCUGCUGGUAACAGAAAGUCAAGAUGCGCUGCCCACAGCUGGCCCACUGUCCUCUUCCCAUCUCAAAGGGUAGGCGGGGUGCAGAGAUGAGGAGAAAUGAAAGCAGAGGGCGUACUCUGCCGGGUUAUGUCUGUGCAUUUACAGUACAAAUGUGUCCCAUCAGUACCCACGAGUCAAACCAAAAAAGGCUCCGCUUUGGGCCCGAACCGUCCCACAGUAUGAAUGCACAGAAAGGACAGCACAUCACGGACAGUGUAUUAAUUUCCAGGCUCCCUCUCAGCCCUUAAAUUUCAGAGUUACACAGAGAUUUUAAAGUGCUGAAAAUCUUCACAGAAUCAGAGAAUGGUUUGUGUUGGAAGGGACCUUAAAAUCAUCUAGUUCCAAGCACCCUGCCAUGGGCAGGGACACCCUCCACUAGACCAGGUUACUUACUCUUUCAAAAGUUUCCAAAAGUGUGUAUUGGUGACUACUAACAAGAACAGGUAGUAAGCCUUCUAAUAAAACUACAUAAACUCAAAUAUUGCCAAAACCAGAUAGAAAAUAGUGACUUGUUAUUGACUGCAAGCAAAAAAUGGCUAAAAAAAAUAAAAUCAGGCUGUGUCCAUAGCUUCUCCAGCUUCCAGCAUUUAUUUUGAGGGUUGCCAUAAUGAUUUACCAAACUAAACUAACUUUGGGGAGCAUGUGUUUACAUGCAGCACAGUCGUCACCUUUGCAUUCAAAUUCUGUAGUUUUAGGCAUCUUUUCUCCCUCAGGUUGAAUAAAGUAAGACUGCAAGGUGAGGCUCUUGAUGUCACCAUGGAAGAUGAGUUAUUCUCUUUGAACACUCAUCUUAUUUUGUGAAGUGGAGGCUGAACUUGAAGUGCCCAAGCUCAGACUAGCAAACCCUCGCAGCACAACAUUCUGCAGUGCUUUUUUGCUGAGGAACAAACUAUGUUAGCACUACAGGCUGAAGUUUUCCACAAGAAGUUCUGUGAAGAUUGUAAAAGCAUUUAAGAUAAUGGGAUUCAGUAAAAAUUAUCUGUGUUGGGACAAAGAAUUAAACUAGUGCUUCAGUUUUCAAUAAAGAUCAUGAUGCUGACUAUGGAAUCAAAAUAGGGUAAAUAAAAGGCAAUUAACACAACUGAGGUGGACAAGAAACUCAAGGAAUUUAAUGUGGUGGGUCCAUCCCAUUUCCAUCCUACAGCAUUGGAGAGCAGCACAGGAAAUGGAGGUGUCUGACAACACCUAUUUUCAUCUAGUUCCUGAGUUUGUACCGUGUAGGUGGAGGAGGGCAAGGCAGUACCUGUAUUUAAGGGAGAAAUGAGAAGCACAGGCCCGCUGGUCUGACACCAUCAGUAUUCAGGGCAUUAACAUGAAUUUUCAAAGAAAUGCUAAAAAUGUAAUAGUAAGUGAAAACUUCCUAACAGAAGCUCACUAUUUAGGUUUUUGAUAGUGAAGCACACUACCUGUGUGAAAUACCUUGACAGGACAACAGAGUUGUCAGAACUGCAAAAGCUCUGUGGCCAAAGCGGAGGCAGCAACAGACCUUCUGAAAAAUGAAAUGUGAAGUCAGAAGGAAAUUACUAAGGAAAUUUCUGAAGGACCUGUGGCAGGCAGAUGCUAUUUAAAGCUUUCUCUGCUGACCGUAACACAAAACCCCAGAACUAGUCUAUGAUAUCCGUCAAAGACAAAUUUAAGAUGUGUCACCAGGCAAGAGGAGGAUGAAUUGUUGAACACAUAAGAAAGAAGCACAAUGUGAAGGACAGGGGAAGCAGCAGUGGGAUAUAAUCUGCUACUAUGUAUUUUGAGGACAUGCUCUCAAGAACUAACAAAAGAGCUGCUGGUGAGGCCCCAUGGUUCAGUAGAUGGACGCGAGGGAGGUGGAGGGGAGCCCUCUCCUUCCCUUGAGGAUGUUAAAUAUGCAGCAGUGCUUUUCCUUGUCACAACUUCCAGCGGGCAAAGCCUGUAACCAGCCGGCAUCUUGCGCAGGUUUAGCUCACAAAGAAACGGGACUGGCAAAUACCAAAAGAAAAAUAAAAGGGACCACAGUCUAGAAAAAAACAAAAGGGUUUUUAGUGCCAAAAUGCAUUAAUCGUUUUUACGGACAAAAUUGCUUCCAUGGAGGCACUGGAGAGAAGGACUCACUGGAGUUAUUACUGGGCUCAAUCAAAAUGAAAUCCUAUAAAAAGUAUGUGAGCAUUUGUGUUAGAGCAACUAAGAAGUAAUUUAUAAAUUUAAAAAAGGAAACUUUUUUAAAUGCACCCUCCUAUUUGAAUGUCACAAACCACUUCAGGCAAUUACUGAGAAGAAGGGAUCGGAUCCUGUAAACUCGUUAGUUGGUAACACCUUUCCUUUUGUGCCUGUGACUUCAGUGGCACAAAUCAAAUGUUUAAAGCUUCUCUCUGAGGUUGAAUUUACUUUUGGACAGGAGGAACGCUCAAAUCAUGAUUUCCUGAUUUCACCCAAGGUGGAUGUUUUCAAAACAGGAGCCUACAGUUAGAUUUCUAAGCCCACUUUUACCAAAGAGUGUGAAAUUUUCACAAGAGUGUCAGGCCUGUACUACCUGGCCUCUGAUCUCAAGUGCCCAGACCACGAGCAGACAGUACAAAGUGCAGCGGCUUGUUGGCCAGCUACGAAGCCGGUCAUUCUCUGCCAGCCCAUCAAACGCAAAUCCCUCCUGCGGGCACCAGAGAGGCUGGCAGUACCAGGGUGGCAGGAAAAGGAUAUCCGGUGCUCGAGUCAGUGAAAAAAAUCUCGAGUCAGUGAAAAUAUCUCAAAUAAGUAAGAAGGAAACUCAAAACCUCCAUGUUUCCUGCAUUUUGGUUUUCCUGACUUGUGACAGUAGAAUAACUGGUAUGAUCUGAAAAUGCAGCCUGGACUAUUACUCCUUCUUCUUGCAUUUGAGAUUUUCUGUUUUCAGUAGAUCGGGUGGGAUCCAGUCUGCUUCAGCUUCCACAGCAAACUUGCACUUACAUUCUGUGUGGUGGGUGAAGCAACUCUUUUACAGUGCUUAAAUCCCACCCAGAGCCACCACAGAUGGUGCCUCUGAAGGAAGUCACUGAUGUUCAGGCUCUAGAGGACAACAGCCACUCUUUGCAGUGAAAGAUGCUCAUGGAGGCAAGUGAAACAACCCUCUUCUGUGCACCACAAACACUGCUGUCACUAUGUAACUGAUAGGUCAUUUUAAGGUUCUAUGAUGCCAUUAGAAAAAUGUCAACCUGUCUAGUGUAAAGGGAAAAAUAGGAACAUGAGAUAUGCCUUAAGCGGGGGGCAGGUCUUUCUAUUCCAGUACCUGCCUCUGACAGUGGCUGCAGGGAGGGGGGGCAGGGAGCUGUCCUGCAGGGCCUGCCCCUCGCUCCAGGGCUGCAUGCCCCAUCAUGGGGUGCCCAGCCCCUGUACUGCUCUAUGCACUUACGGACCCAUCCGCCCUGAGUUUGUUCACCUCAGUUAACACAAGGUUGGUUUUGAGCCUGCCGAUACGGCCUCGCUCUACAACCCCCGCGGCAGCAGGCUCUGAAGCUCACUCUGAAGCCGCCCCUGCAAGUUUCACUGGUGUCCCCCAGCUCUCAUAUGGCGGGUGCUGAUGAGCAACAGCUCUCUCUUCAGAUUAUCCACUGCUUCCCAUUUUGUAAACCCUUACUAUUCCUCCAGCAACCUUCCCCCCUCCACAACAAAAAGCCCCAGGCAUUUUAGACUCCCCCAAAUGGCAGUUGCUCUACCUCCUUGAUCAUCCCUGUUGCCAUUCUUCGCACUGUCUUUAACGCCAUUAUAUCCCAACUCAAGGCCAGGAAGGCUUGCAGUAGUUCCUGCUGUACCAGAAAUUUCC